rnacentral:rRNA from 1 species
UACGUAGGGGGCAAGCGUUGUCCGGAUUCAUUGGGCGUAAAGGGUGCGUAGGUGGCGCUGUAAGUGGGGUGUGAAAUCCCGGGGCUUAACUCCGGAACUGCAUUCCAUACUGCGGUGCUUGAGGACUGGAGAGGAGACUGGAAUUUACGGUGUAGCAGUGAAAUGCGUAGAGAUCGUAAGGAAGACCAGUGGCGAAGGCGGGUCUCUGGACAGUUCCUGACACUGAGGCACGAAGGCCAGGGGAGCAAACGGG